CUGCUGAUGCAGGCCUGUGAUCUUCAUCACAAAUGUGACAAUAACUUGGCUGUUUCAACAACUCUUAACAAUGAGGAUGGCUUACAGAGAAAGGAGACUUCAGACAAAACCUGUUUUAAUAAUAAGUUUUCUCCCCAAUUAAGAAACAACCUCCCUGUUUUGCUUAGCCCUUAAACGGAAGGACAUCAUGAACAAUGAAUAAAGAGCAAUGAAGAUUUUCUGCAAAUGGUGGUGGAGCAAAAUCUGACUCCUACUGAACAUCUGUGUGAUUGGCAAGUCAAAACACCAAUGCUGUCCCCUCUUAGGAACGAUGGAGAAACCUACUAAGCAGCAGAUACACAAAAUUGAAUCCCAGGAGAGCAUCACAGAAGUAUAUGCAAUGGCAGAUUUUACUCUUCCACCAUUAAGACCAACAGCAAAGCCACCAUCCAUGUUCAGUGUGCAUCUCCCACCCGUGAAAACAUCAGCCAGACAAACACCAGCACCCUUGUCGACCACAACUCCUUCCCAUCCAAGUAGAAGUCC